rnacentral:snoRNA from 1 species
AAGACUAUACUUUCAGGGAUCAUUUCUAUAGUUUUUGACUUGAGAAAUGUGUUUCUAAAGUGUUUGGUCUUGCUGACCAAGCAGUUGAGUUGUGAUAUUCUUUCUGUGCGUGAAGCUGACAGAGAGUACGAAUUUAAUUCAUAUAUGAUCACAGUGGU